rnacentral:lncRNA from 1 species
AGGCCCAUAAUCAGCCCAAAUCAAAUCCAUCCCAUUUCUGCUCAAAUUAUUUGCAGGUCUAGUCCUAAAUCUAUCUGCUAAAUUCUGGUCAUUUUCUUUCAAUACUUCUUUAGCUAAUUCAGCUGUUGUUACCACAACAUUUAGCUGUGACCCAAAGUAUACUGAGAAUAUUGGGCCGUAUGUUUGGGCCCAAUCGGCGAAGACUGUGACCCAAAGUAUAUGGAGAAAAUCGGACCGUAUGUUUGGGCCCAAUCGGCGAAGCACCGGAAUCUCACCGGUUUUAUGUCGUAGAGGUUUCCGACCACCGGUAACGGCCGUGGACCUGGUGGUAGUUUGAAUCUA